rnacentral:rRNA from 1 species
CGGGACACGUGGUAUCCUGUCUGAAUAUGGGGGGACCAUCCUCCAAGGCUAAAUACUCCUGACUGACCGAUAGUGAACCAGUACCGUGAGGGAAAGGCGAAAAGAACCCCGGCGAGGGGAGUGAAAAAGAACCUGAAACCGUGUACGUACAAGCAGUGGGAGCACAGAGCAAUCUGUGUGACUGCGUACCUUUUGUAUAAUGGGUCAGCGACUUAUAUUCUGUAGCAAGGUUAACCGAAUAGGGGAGCCGAAGGGAAACCGAGUCUUAACCGGGCGUUAAGUUGCAGGGUAUAGACCCGAAACCCGGUGAUCUAGCCAUGGGCAGGUUGAAGGUUGGGUAACACUAACUGGAGGACCGAACCGACUAAUGUUGAAAAAUUAGCGGAUGACUUGUGGCUGGGGGUGAAAGGCCAAUCAAACCGGGAGAUAGCUGGUUCUCCCCGAAAGCUAUUUAGGUAGCGCCUCGUGAAUUCAUCUCCGGGGGUAGAGCACUGUUUCGGCAAGGGGGUCAUCCCGACUUACCAACCCGAUGCAAACUGCGAAUACCGGAGAAUGUUAUCACGGGAGACACACGGCGGGUGCUAACGUCCGUCGUGAAGAGGGAAACAACCCAGACCGCCAGCUAAGGUCCCAAAGUCAUGGUUAAGUGGGAAACGAUGUGGGAAGGCCCAGACAGCCAGGAUGUUGGCUUAGAAGCAGCCAUCAUUUAAAGAAAGCGUAAUAGCUCACUGGUCGAGUCGGCCUGCGCGGAAGAUGUAACGGGGCUAAACCAUGCACCGAAGCUGCGGCAGCGACACUGUGUGUUGUUGGGUAGGGGAGCGUUCUGUAAGCCUGUGAAGGUGUACUGUGAGGUAUGCUGGAGGUAUCAGAAGUGCGAAUGCUGACAUAAGUAACGAUAAAGCGGGUGAAAAGCCCGCUCGCCGGAAGACCAAGGGUUCCUGUCCAACGUUAAUCGGGGCAGGGUGAGUCGACCCCUAAGGCGAGGCCGAAAGGCGUAGUCGAUGGGAAACAGGUUAAUAUUCCUGUACUUGGUGUUACUGCGAAGGGGGGACGGAGAAGGCUAUGUUGGCCGGGCGACGGUUGUCCCGGUUUAAGCGUGUAGGCUGGUUUUCCAGGCAAAUCCGGAAAAUCAAGGCUGAGGCGUGAUGACGAGGCACUACGGUGCUGAAGCAACAAAUGCCCUGCUUCCAGGAAAAGCCUCUAAGCAUCAGGUAACAUCAAAUCGUACCCCAAACCGACACAGGUGGUCAGGUAGAGAAUACCAAGGCGCUUGAGAGAACUCGGGUGAAGGAACUAGGCAAAAUGGUGCCGUAACUUCGGGAGAAGGCACGCUGAUAUGUAGGUGAAGUCCCUCGCGGAUGGAGCUGAAAUCAGUCGAAGAUACCAGCUGGCUGCAACUGUUUAUUAAAAACACAGCACUGUGCAAACACGAAAGUGGACGUAUACGGUGUGACGCCUGCCCGGUGCCGGAAGGUUAAUUGAUGGGGUCAGCGCAAGCGAAGCUCUUGAUCGAAGCCCCGGUAAACGGCGGCCGUAACUAUAACGGUCCUAAGGUAGCGAAAUUCCUUGUCGGGUAAGUUCCGACCUGCACGAAUGGCGUAAUGAUGGCCAGGCUGUCUCCACCCGAGACUCAGUGAAAUUGAACUCGCUGUGAAGAUGCAGUGUACCCGCGGCAAGACGGAAAGACCCCGUGAACCUUUACUAUAGCUUGACACUGAACAUUGAGCCUUGAUGUGUAGGAUAGGUGGGAGGCUUUGAAGUGUGGACGCCAGUCUGCAUGGAGCCGACCUUGAAAUACCACCCUUUAAUGUUUGAUGUUCUAACGUGGACCCGUGAUCCGGGUUGCGGACAGUGUCUGGUGGGUAGUUUGACUGGGGCGGUCUCCUCCUAAAGAGUAACGGAGGAGCACGAAGGUUGGCUAAUCCUGGUCGGACAUCAGGAGGUUAGUGCAAUGGCAUAAGCCAGCUUGACUGCGAGCGUGACGGCGCGAGCAGGUGCGAAAGCAGGUCAUAGUGAUCCGGUGGUUCUGAAUGGAAGGGCCAUCGCUCAACGGAUAAAAGGUACUCCGGGGAUAACAGGCUGAUACCGCCCAAGAGUUCAUAUCGACGGCGGUGUUUGGCACCUCGAUGUCGGCUCAUCACAUCCUGGGGCUGAAGUAGGUCCCAAGGGUAUGGCUGUUCGCCAUUUAAAGUGGUACGCGAGCUGGGUUUAGAACGUCGUGAGACAGUUCGGUCCCUAUCUGCCGUGGGCGCUGGAGAACUGAGGGGGGCUGCUCCUAGUACGAGAGGACCGGAGUGGACGCAUCACUGGUGUUCGGGUUGUCAUGCCAAUGGCACUGCCCGGUAGCUAAAUGCGGAAGAGAUAAGUGCUGAAAGCAUCUAAGCACGAAACUUGCCCCGAGAUGAGUUCUCCCUGACCCUUUAAGGGUCCUGAAGGAACGUUGAAGACGACGACGUUGAUAGGCCGGGUGUGUAAGCGCAGCGAUGCGUUGAGCUAACCGGUACUAAUGAACCGUGAGGCUUAACCUUACAACGCCGAAGGUGUUU